GUGGGGAAUAUUGGACAAUGGGCGAAAGCCUGAUCCAGCCAUGCCGCGUGUGUGAAGAAGGUCUUCGGAUUGUAAAGCACUUUAAGUUGGGAGGAAGGGCAGUAAGUUAAUACCUUGCUGUUUUGACGUUACCGACAGAAUAAGCACCGGCUAACUUCGUGCCAGCAGCCGCGGUAAUACGAAGGGUGCAAGCGUUAAUCGGAAUUACUGGGCGUAAAGCGCGCGUAGGUGGUUUUGUAAGUUGGAGGUGAAAUCCCCGGGCUCAACCGGGGAACUGCCUCGAAAACUGCAUGACUAGAGGACGGUAGAGGGUAGUGGAAUUUCCUGUGUAGCGGUGAAAUGCGUAGAUAUAGGAAGGAACACCAGUGGCGAAGGCGACUACCUGGACUGAUACUGACACUGAGGUGCGAAAGCGUGGGGAGCAAACAGGAUUAGAAACCCUGGUAGUCC
rnacentral:rRNA from 1 species